rnacentral:rRNA from 1 species
GACGAACGCUGGCGGCGUGCUUAACACAUGCAAGUCGUACGGAAAGGCCCUGCUUGCAGGGUACUCGAGUGGCGAACGGGUGAGUAACACGUGGGUGAUCUGCCCUGCACUUCGGGAUAAGCCUGGGAAACUGGGUCUAAUACCGGAUAGGAGCCAUUUUUAGUGUGAUGGUUGGAAAGUUUUUUCGGUGUAGGAUGAGCUCGCGGCCUAUCAGCUUGUUGGUGGGGUAAUGGCCUACCAAGGCGGCGACGGGUAGCCGGCCUGAGAGGGUGGACGGCCACAUUGGGACUGAGAUACGGCCCAGACUCCUACGGGAGGCAGCAGUGGGGAAUAUUGCACAAUGGGCGCAAGCCUGAUGCAGCGACGCCGCGUGGGGGAUGACGGCCUUCGGGUUGUAAACUCCUUUCGCUAGGGACGAAGCUUUUUGUGACGGUACCUAGAUAAGAAGCACCGGCUAACUACGUG